UACGUAGGGUGCAAGCGUUAAUCGGAAUUACUGGGCGUAAAGCGUGCGCAGGCGGUUAUAUAAGACAGGCGGGAAAUCCCUGGGCUCAACCUAGGAACUGCGAUUGUGACUGUAUGGCUAGAGUGUGUCAGAGGGGGGUAGAAUUCCACGUGUAGCAGUGAAAUGCGUAGAUAUGUGGAGGAUUACCGAUGGCGAAGGCAGCCCCCUGGGAUAACACUGACGCUCAUGCACGUAAGCGUGGGGAGCAACCCGG
rnacentral:rRNA from 1 species